GCCCUAGUAGCUCAGUCGGUAGAGCAUCAGACUUUUAAUCUGAGGGUCGCGGGUUUGAGUCCCUCUGCGGGCG
rnacentral:tRNA from 1 species